rnacentral:rRNA from 1 species
AAUAGAUACCCGGGUAGUCCACGCUGUAAACGAUGGGCACUAGGUGUGGGGGGUGUCGACUCCCUCCGUGCCGAAGCUAACGCAUUAAGUGCCCCGCCUGGGGAGUACGGCCGCAAGGCUAAAACUCAAAGGAAUUGACGGGGGGCCCGCACAAGCAGCGGAGCAUGUGGUUUAAUUCGACGCAACGCGAAGAACCUUACCUGGGCUUGACAUGUUCCUGACCGUCCUGGAAACAGGGCUUCCCUUCGGGGCAGGAUCACAGGUGGUGCAUGGCUGUCGUCAGCUCGUGUCGUGAGAUGUUGGGUUAAGUCCCGCAACGAGCGCAACCCCGUCGCAUGUUGCCAGCAUUAAGUUGGGGACUCAUGCGAGACUGCCGGUGACAAACCGGAGGAAGGUGGGGAUGACGUCAAGUCAUCAUGCCCCUUAUGUCCAGGGCUACACACGUGCUACAUUGGCGCGUACAGAGGGCUGCGAUACCGCGAGGUGGAGCGAAUCCCUUAAAGCGCGUCUCGGUUCGGAUUGCAGGCUGAAACCCG